GACGAACGCUGGCGGCGUGCUUAACACAUGCAAGUCGAACGGGUCUGCCCUGUUUUUUGCGGGGUGGGUCAGUGGCGAACGGGUGAGUAACACGUGAGUAACCUGCCCCUCACUUCUGGAUAACCGCUUGAAAGGGUGGCUAAUACGGGGUGUUCUGGCUGUGCCGCAUGGUGUGGCUGGGAAAGAUUCACUUUUGUGGUGUUUUGGUGGGGGAUGGGCUCGCGGCCUAUCAGCUUGUUGGUGGGGUGAUGGCCUGCCAAGGCUUUGACGGGUAGCCGGCCUGAGAGGGUGGGCGGUCACACUGGGACUGAGAUACGGCCCAGUCUCCUGCGGGAGGCAGCAGUGGGGGGUAUUGCACAAUGGGCGGAAGCCUGAUGCAGCGACGUCGCGUGAGGGAUGGAGGCCUUCGGGUUGUGAACCUCUUUCGCCGGUGAAGAAGGUCCUGCUCUUUGUGGUGGGGUUGACGGUAGCCGGGUUAUGAAGCGCCGGCUAACUACGUG
rnacentral:rRNA from 1 species